UAAAAUUUUCAUAUAUUAAAAUUCAUUUAAUAUAUAAAAUUAUAUACAAAAUGUAUUCAAAACCCACACUCUUUAUAACCAUAAAAAAAUUUAUAUUAUUAUUUAUAAUAUAAAAAAAAAC
rnacentral:misc_RNA from 1 species